rnacentral:rRNA from 1 species
AACGAACGCUGGCGGCGCGCUUAACACAUGCAAGUCGAACGAGAAGCUGUAGCAAUACAGUUGUAAAGUGGCAAACGGGUGAGUAAUGCGUGGGUAAUCUACCCUCGGGUGGGGAAUAACUCUUCGAAAGGAGAGCUAAUGCCGACAUGUGCAGCACUUUCGCAAGUAGGUGCUGGAAAGCCGUACCGUGGGUGCGGCGCCCAAGGAUGAGCUCACGUCCUAUCAGCUUGUUGGCGGGGUAACGGCCCACCAAGGCUCCGACGGGUAGCUGGUCUGAGAGGACGACCAGCCACACUGGCACUGCGACACGGGCCAGACUCCUACGGGGAGCAGCAGUGAGGAAUAUUGCGCAAUGGGCGAAAGCCUGACGCAGCGACGCCGCGGUGGGGGAUGAAGGUC